rnacentral:rRNA from 1 species
AUACGGAGGAUCCGAGCGUUAUCCGGAGUUAUUGGGUUUAAAGGGUGCGCAGGCGGCCAUUUAAGUCAGCGGUUAAAUCGUGGGGCUCAACCCCAUUCUGCCGUUGAUACUGGGUGGCUUGAUUGCGGUCGAGGUUGGCGGAAUUCGUUGUGUAGCGGUGAAAUGCAUAGAUAUGACGAAGAACACCGAUUGCGUAGGCAGCUGACCAGACCGCAAAUGACGCUCAUGCACGAAAGUGCGGGGAUCGAACAGGAUUAGAUACCCUGGUAGUCCGCACAGUAAACGAUAAAUACUUGUUUUCGGCGAUAUAAUGUCGGAGGCAAAGCGAAAGCGAUAAGUAUUCCACCUGGGGAGUACGCCGGCAACGGUGAAACUCAAAUGAAUUGACGGGG